UACGUAGGGUGCGAGCGUUGUCCGGAAUUAUUGGGCGUAAAGGGCUCGUAGGCGGUUUGUCGCGUCGGGAGUGAAAUCCACUGGCUUAACUGGUGGCUUGCUUUCGAUACGGGCAGACUGGAGGUAUGCAGGGGAGAACGGAAUUCCUGGUGUAGCGGUGAAAUGCGCAGAUAUCAGGAGGAACACCGGUGGCGAAAGGCGGUUCUCUGGGCAUGUCCUGACGUGAGGAGCGAAAGUGUGGGGAGCGAACAGG
rnacentral:rRNA from 1 species